UAAAAAACGGGUGCCAAGAGACAUUAACUGGUGUUGUGGGAACAGAAUUGGGAAUCAGUUCAGAGCUCCAGUUACCUUACAUGAACUUUUAGAAUCCAAUCUCACGUUGAUUCACAAGCUAUUGCCUACUCCCAUUGGGAUGAACCUUACUUUGGUAAAGCAACUAUUACUUCAUCAAGAUCUAAUAGAGAUCCUAGGAAAAAUCAAGGAGAAUGGACAGAAAACUCUGGUAACUGUUCAUCAUGAUGUGCAAGAAAUACAUCGUGUUGUAGAAAGGGUGGAAAGUGAUGCCGAGCACAAGUGGUGGGAUACCCUUUCCGGGUGGUCACCCACCGCCACCGGUAUCCUGAACAAAUUGUGCCAUCCCGUUGUUGUUCUUCUGAUUUUA